ACUGCCCUAUUGGAUUUAGGACUUGCAUGGGGCCUGUAGCCCUUUUGUUUUGGACAAUUUCUCCCAUUUGGAAUGGAUAUAUUUACUCAGCACCUGUACCCCCAUUGUAUCUAGGAAGUAACUAACUUGCCUUUGAUUUUACAGGCUCAUAGGUGGAAGGUACUUGCCUUAUCUCCGAUGAGACUUUGGAUUUAGACUUUUGGAUUAAUGCUGGAAUAAGUUAAGAUUUUGAGGGACUGUUGGAAGGGCAUUAUUGUGUUUUGAAAUGUGAGGACAUGAGAUUACAUCAAGCUGAGUCCUUGAAGUGGUCGGAGGGACAAAACAGAAUUCCUGGAGACAGUGUCCUAAGGGAGUGCCAGAGGCACUCAUUUGUUUGACAACUAAUUUUGGAGGCAGGUGCUCUUCCUUGUCUUAGGAUCUUCCAGUCAACAAGGCUGAAAAUCUCCCUGCCUCCUGGAGCUUGCUUCUGUGGAAGAAGGCAGUCAGCAAACACAUGAACAAAGACAAGUUCAG
rnacentral:lncRNA from 10 species